rnacentral:rRNA from 1 species
GAUGAACGCUGGCGGCGUGCCUAAUACAUGCAAGUCGAGCGAACGGACGAGAAGCUUGCUUCUCUGAUGUUAGCGGCGGACGGGUGAGUAACACGUGGAUAACCUACCUAUAAGACUGGGAUAACUUCGGGAAACCGGAGCUAAUACCGGAUAAUAUUUUGAACCGCAUGGUUCAAAAGUGAAAGACGGUCUUGCUGUCACUUAUAGAUGGAUCCGCGCUGCAUUAGCUAGUUGGUAAGGUAACGGCUUACCAAGGCAACGAUGCAUAGCCGACCUGAGAGGGUGAUUGGCCACACUGGAACUGAGACACGGUCCAGACUCCUACGGGAGGCAGCAGUAGGGAAUCUUCCGCAAUGGGCGAAAGCCUGACGGAGCAACGCCGCGUGAGUGAUGAAGGUCUUCGGAUCGUAAAACUCUGUUAUUAGGGAAGAACAUAUGUGUAAGUAACUGUGCACAUCUUGACGGUACCUAAUCAGAAAGCCACGGCUAACUACGUGCCAGCAGCCGCGGUAAUACGUAGGUGGCAAGCGUUAUCCGGAAUUAUUGGGCGUAAAGCGCGCGUAGGCGGUUUUUUAAGUCUGAUGUGAAAGCCCACGGCUCAACCGUGGAGGGUCAUUGGAAACUGGAAAACUUGAGUGCAGAAGAGGAAAGUGGAAUUCCAUGUGUAGCGGUGAAAUGCGCAGAGAUAUGGAGGAACACCAGUGGCGAAGGCGACUUUCUGGUCUGUAACUGACGCUGAUGUGCGAAAGCGUGGGGAUCAAACAGGAUUAGAUACCCUGGUAGUCCACGCCGUAAACGAUGAGUGCUAAGUGUUAGGGGGUUUCCGCCCCUUAGUGCUGCAGCUAACGCAUUAAGCACUCCGCCUGGGGAGUACGACCGCAAGGUUGAAACUCAAAGGAAUUGACGGGGACCCGCACAAGCGGUGGAGCAUGUGGUUUAAUUCGAAGCAACGCGAAGAACCUUACCAAAUCUUGACAUCCUUUGACAACUCUAGAGAUAGAGCCUUCCCCUUCGGGGGACAAAGUGACAGGUGGUGCAUGGUUGUCGUCAGCUCGUGUCGUGAGAUGUUGGGUUAAGUCCCGCAACGAGCGCAACCCUUAAGCUUAGUUGCCAUCAUUAAGUUGGGCACUCUAAGUUGACUGCCGGUGACAAACCGGAGGAAGGUGGGGAUGACGUCAAAUCAUCAUGCCCCUUAUGAUUUGGGCUACACACGUGCUACAAUGGACAAUACAAAGGGCAGCGAAACCGCGAGGUCAAGCAAAUCCCAUAAAGUUGUUCUCAGUUCGGAUUGUAGUCUGCAACUCGACUACAUGAAGCUGGAAUCGCUAGUAAUCGUAGAUCAGCAUGCUACGGUGAAUACGUUCCCGGGUCU